AGGAUGAUGAAGAUGAUAAUUGGCAAAUGUAUCAUGUCAGAGAAUCACACUUGAAAAUUAAUAAUUAUUAUGAGAACAUUGUCCUUCUGUAUUCUGUCACAGAUAAUGACAAAAGCCCUUUUCCGCAUCGUGUGAUUUCACUUUUAGGAUGACUUUUAUUAAGCUCCGAUUAGCUUAACCAUUCUAGUAACUUUGUAGGAUUCCAACUGAAACAGAUGUCAGAGACGUUCUCUGGAGACGUUCUCCAACAUCAUUUUAGAAGGAAUCCUGCAAAGUUACUAAGGCUACGUUCCAAAACUUCCUCUCCGAGGAAGAUUUUACUCUAUAUACUAUAGUAUACGUUAUGUGUACUAUAUAUUGGAUCAUCUAAAAAGUAUCCGCGGUUUUUUGUCACUAGAUGGUGUUGAUGAUCAACACAUAUAUUUUGAGUAAGUUUUAGCCUAGAAUGAUUAAGAUAACUGGAGCUUGGUAAAAGUCACUUUUAGGGCUUCUUUCAUCGACACCAAUUAACGCUAAUCGAUGAUUAACUCAAUCAUUACGAUUACCAACGUGAGAACUAAACACAGAAGAGAAAGAAAAACACAAGUAGCUACUAAAUGCCCAUUAUCCUUAAAAGACACUAUGAUAUGAAUACUAUAGGCAGCAUCUUGGACAAUAUGAAAAUCAUUAAGAAAAUAGAUUUGUGGAUUUUUAAUAUAUUAUCCAACAGAAGAGAGCCGGAAAACAUGUGCAUCAUGCACCGAUCCAAUAUUUUCAGCAGAACGCUUGUAAAGAGCAAUUUUUGAGUACAAACUACCUAAAAAGAUAAAAUAGAAACUAAUAAAUGUUCACAUCUGAUUGUUUAUCCUCUUGUGCGAAGCUAUUAUUUUAAUGUGCGUACCAUCAAUAACUCCUACAACUUUAGGAAAUCCACUAGCUCUUUCAAUUUUUCCAUCACUUUGGUUGCUCUUUCACCCUGAGGCCACUAAAUAAAUCGUAGAGCAAGAGUGUGCAAGGCAUAAAUAACUCUCCUCAUAAUAAGAAUUGUUGUAGCUUUUCCUAUCUCAAAUUUCACACAAAUAGACCUAUAAUUCAUAUAACGAUAUAAUAAAAAACUUUUUCUUGACGAGAAGUUAUGUUACUAUGUCUAUAUAAAUCUGAUGUUGUCAUCAUUCACAAAGCUAACAGAAGUUGUUUUUGAAUUGGUACAGGCUUUCUAUUACUAAGUGAUUUAAUUAAUAUAGAUCCUAUUCCAAUAAGAACUCAAAAGUUGUAGGAAAUAAUCUGUAAAUAAAACAAUUGAAAUUUCAUAAUUUAUAUUAAAAAUUAUUCUAAAAAUAAUCAUUAUUAUGAUGCUAUGUUUUCAUGAUCUCGAGCAAUCGUCAUUGGCUAUAUCUAAAGCGCGUUUUAAAUUCUCUUCAGCUGUAUAAUGAGAAACAAUUCUUUCCACAUAUCCUUUGAUAUGAGAUUUAAUUUGUGUUUUACUUCUUUGUCUGUUUAGACCUAAAUAAAACUGUAAUAAAAU